CAUGUAUGGUAGAGGAGCAUCGUAUACGGGCAGAAGCGUGACCGUAAGGAAACGUGGACUGUAUACGAGAGAGAAUGUUGGCAUGAGUAGCGAGAGGCAGGUGAGAAUCCUGCCCGCCGAAAAUCUGAGGAUUCCUGAGGAAGGUUCGUCCGCUCAGGGUAAGUCGGGACCUAAGCCGAGAACGAAAGUUGUAGGCGAUGGACAACAAGUUGAGAUUCCUGUACCACCGAGGAUCAUUUGAAUGAAGUGGGGACGCAGGAGGAUAGGCUGAGCGCGCCGUUGGUGGAGCGCGUCCAAGCACGGAGGGAGUUGACCAGGCAAAUCCGGUCAGCGAGUUCCUGACGUGUGACGGGGAGGGAAAACAAGUACCGAAGCAGCUGAUUUCACACUGCCAAGAAAAGCCGCUGGUGAGAUCCAAGGUGCCCGUACCGCAAACCGACACAGGUAGAUGAGGAGAGAAUCCUAAGGCGAGCGAGAGAACUAUUGUUAAGGAACUCGGCAAAAUGACCCCGUAACUUAGGGAGAAGGGGUGCUGCAGAAAUGCAGCCGCAGUGAAGAGGCCCAGGCGACUGUUUACCAAAAACACAGGUCUCUGCGAAAGCGAAAGCUGAAGUAUAGGGGCUGACGCCUGCCCGGUGCUGGAAGGUUAAGGGGAAGUGUCAGGGCGACCGAAGCACAGAACUUAAGCCCCAGUAAACGGCGGCCGUAACAAUAACGGUCCUAAGGUAGCGAAAUUCCUUGUCGGGUAAGUUCCGACCCGCACGAAAGGCGUAACGAUCUGGGCACUGUCUCGACAAUAGGCUCGGUGAAAUUGUAGUAGCGGUAAAGAUGCCGGUUACCCGCAGCAGGACGGAAAGACCCCGUGGAGCUUUACUGCAGUUUGAUAUUGAGUUUCGGCAUUGCCUGUACAGGAUAGGUGGGAGACAGAGAAGUAUGCACGCCAGUGUGUAAUGAGUCGCCGUUGGGAUACCACCCUUGUAAUGUUGGAAUUCUAACCAGGGCCCGUGAACCGGGUCGGGGACAGUGUCAGACGGGCAGUUUGACUGGGGCGGUCGCCUCCUAAAGAGUAACGGAGGCGCCCAAAGGUUCCCUCAGUGCGGUUGGAAACCGUGCGAAGAGUGCAAAGGCAGAAGGGAGCUUGACUGCGAGACAGACAGGUCGAGCAGGGACGAAAGUCGGGCUUAGUGAUCCGGUGGUACCGAGUGGAAGGGCCAUCGCUCAACGGAUAAAAGCUACCCCGGGGAUAACAGGCUGAUACCCCCCAAGAGUCCACAUCGACGGGGGUGUUUGGCACCUCGAUGUCGGCUCGUCUCAUCCCGGGGCUGAAGCAGGUCCCAAGGGUUGGGCUGUUCGCCCAUUAAAGAGGUACGCGAGCUGGGUUCAGAACGUCGUGAGACAGUUCGGUCCCUAUCCGCUGUGGGCGUUGGAGGUUUGAGUGGAGCUGCCCUUAGUACGAGAGGACCGGGGUGGACAUACCGCUGGUGCACCGGUUGCAGUGCCAACUGCACAGCCGGGUAGCUAAGUAUGGAAGGGAUAAGCGCUGAAAGCAUCUAAGUGCGAAGCCCCCCACGAGAAAAGACCUCCUUGAGAAUAUCUGAAGAUCCCUGGAAGACUAACAGGUAGAUAGGUCGGAGGUGUAAGUGCAGCGAUGCAUGUAGCUGACCGAUACUAAUAGAUCGAACGCUC
rnacentral:rRNA from 1 species